GCAGGUCCGCCGAGCCCGCGCGUCCGGGCCCAGGGCAGCCCUGGCGCGGGGGACGGCGGAGGGCGGGGACGGGCGCUUUCCCCACCCGGGGGCGCCCUCCCCGAGCAGGCCCUCCGGUCGCCCAGCCGGCCUCGCCUCCGAAAUCGGGUCUCGGAGCUGGCGGAGCGCCUUUGAGCCCACCUGCCGCGGGGAGACAGGCCCGGGGACGGUCCCUGGCGCCUGGCGGAGCUUCCUGGGGGAAAAGAAGUCGGAGUUUGGAGAAAAGAUUCCUCUCUUGGGUCAAUCUGCCUUAAGAAAAUGACAUCCCCUGUGACCAGAUCUUGGAGCUGCCAGUUACUGGUUCUGGCUGCUCCAGGUACUUCGGGGCUCCAAGAAACACCAUAGAGCAAGGAUUAAGAUGCCCAGGCUGCCCUCUACUGGCAAUUUGUAGGAAUGACCACAACACAGCCGCUCUCAACCUGCAACCCAAAAGGGCCGGGACGAAGAGAGGAGCCCCUAGGGAGGAUGAGGAGUGGCUAUACCUCCUGCCAGGCUGAAGGCAGGGCUGGGGCCUCCUAGCGGGAGGCUAGAAGCAUCC